rnacentral:rRNA from 1 species
GUGCCAGCCGCCGCGGUAACACCGGCAGCCCAAGUGAUGGCCGAUAUUAUUGGGCCUAAAGCGUCCGUAGCUGGCCGCGCAAGUUCGUCGGGAAAUCCACUCGCUUAACGAGUAGGUGUCCGGCGAAGACUGUGCGGCUUGGGACCGGAAGAUCCAAGGGGUACGUCCGGGGUAGGAGUGAAAUCCCGUAAUCCUGGACGGACCACCAAUGGCGAAAGCACCUUGGAAGGACGGAUCCGACAGUGAGGGACGAAAGCUAGGGUCUCGAACCGGAUUAGAAACCCCAGUAGUCC